rnacentral:rRNA from 1 species
UACGUAGGGUGCGAGCGUUAAUCGGAAUUACUGGGCGUAAAGCGUGCGCAGGCGGUUUUGUAAGCCGGAUGUGAAAUCCCCGGGCUUAACCUGGGAAUGGCAUUUGGGACUGCAAGGCUGGAGUGCGGCAGAGGAGACUGGAAUUCCUGGUGUAGCAGUGAAAUGCGUAGAUAUCAGGAGGAACACCGAUGGCGAAGGCAGGUCUCUGGGCUGACACUGACGCUCAUGCACGAAAGCGUGGGGAGCAAACAGG